GCAUAUCUCCCUGCCAGUUCUCGUCUGGUUUCCCAACUGAAGCUAAGCAGGGUUGAGCCUGGUCAGUACCUGGAUGGGAGACCUCCUUUGGAAAACUAAGGUUGCU
rnacentral:rRNA from 1 species